AGCCCGAUGGUGUAACUGGCAACACGCCGCGUUUUGACCGCGGAGAGUCUAGGUUCGAGCCCUAGUCGGGCUA
rnacentral:tRNA from 1 species